UAUGCCCUGUUUUUCAAAAACAUUUCUUUUAGGUUAUUUAUUAAAGGUACAUUCUGCUCAAUGAAUGUUUAAAUAGCUGCAGUAUUUUGACUGUACAAAGGUAGCAUAGUAAUUAGUUUAUUAAUUGUGGACUGGAAUGAAUGGAUUUAUGAGAAAUUAUUUUUAUUAAUUUUAUUUUUAUAAUUUUAUUUUUAAGUAAGAAAUCUUAAUGUUUUAUUAGGGACGAAAAGACCCUAUAGAACUUAUAAUUAGUUUGAAUUUUUUAUGUUUUUGUAAGUUUUAAUUUAAAUUUAUUUUAAUUUUUUGUUGGGGUGACAUUUAAAUUUAAACUUUAUUUAUUUAUUUCAUUAAUUUUUGUAUCAAUGAAUCAUUAUAUGUUGGUUAUAAGUUAAGUUACCUUAGGGAUAACAGCGUUAUUUAAUUGGGGAGUUCAUAUCUAUAAUUAAGUUUGCGACCUCGAUGUUGAAUUAAGAUAAGGGUUUGAGGUAGUUUUCAAAUUUUUAGGUCUGUUCGACCUUUAAAUUCUUACAUGAUCUGAGUUCAGACCGGA
rnacentral:rRNA from 1 species